rnacentral:rRNA from 1 species
UACGAAGGGGGCUAGCGUUGCUCGGAAUGACUGGGCGUAAAGGGCGCGUAGGCGGUUUGUACAGUCAGGUGUGAAAUUCCCGGGCUCAACCUGGGGGCGGCACUUGAGAUGUAGGAACUGGAGUGAGGAAGAGGGUCGUGGAAUUCCCAGUGUAGAGGUGAAAUUCGUAGAUAUUGGGAAGAACACCGGUGGCGAAGGCGGCGACCUGGUCCUUUUACUGACGCUGAGGCGCGAAAGCGUGGGGAGCAAACAGG